GUCGGGAUAGCUCAGUUGGUANAGCAGAGGACUGAAAAUCCUCGUGUCACCAG
rnacentral:tRNA from 4 species